GUUAAGGUGGCAGAGCCCGGUAAUUGCAAAAGACCUAAGCCCUUUCAACCAGAGGUUCAACCCCUCUUCUUAAC
rnacentral:tRNA from 1 species